GGUUCGAUUCUGGCUCAGAUUGAACGCUGGCGGGAUGCUUUACACACAAGUCGAACGGCGGCACGGACUUCGGUCUGGUGGCGAGUGGCGUGAACGGGUGCGAGUACCGGUCGGAACGCCCUGCAGCGGGGAUAACUACGCGAAAGGUAGCGACAGCCUGCAUACGCCCUUCGGGGAAAGCGGGGACCUUCGGGCCUCGCACUAUUAGAGCGACCGAUAUCGGAUUAGCUAGUUGGUGGGGUAACGGCCACCAAGGCGACGAUCCGUAGCUGGUUUGAGAGGACGACCAGCCACACUGGGACUGAGACACGGCCCAGACUCCUACGGAGGCAGUAGUGGGAAUUUUGACAAUGGGGAAACCCUGAUCCAGCCAUCCUGUAAGAUGAAGGCCUCAAGCAAAAGCGACUUCGGGCAGGAAAGAAACGGCACGGGAUAAUACCCAAAAGUAACUGACGGUACUCGCAGAAUAAGCACCGGCACCACGUGCCAGCAGCUGUAAUGUAGGUAAGCGUUAAUCGGAAAUUACCAAGGGAAGGUGCAGGCGGUUCGGAAAGAAAGAUGUGAAUCCCAGAGCUUAACUUUGGAACUGCAUUUUUAACUACCGAGCUAGAGUGUGUCAGAGGGAGGUGGACUCAUGUAGCAGUGAAUGCGUAGAUAUGCGGAGGAACACGAUGGCGAAGGCAGCCUCUGGGAUAACACUGACGCUCUAUGCACGAAAGCGUGGGGAGCAUAUCAGAUGACCUGCAGUCCACGCCCCAAACGAUGUCAACUAGCUGUUGGGGCUCUCUGGCCUUUUAGUAGCGCAGCCAACGCGGUGAAGUUGACUGCCUGGGGAGUACGGUCGCAAGAUUGGAAAACUCGUAAAGGAAUUGACGGGGACCCGCACAAGCGGUGGAUGAUGGAUUAAUCUGAUGCAACGCGAAACUCCACUACCCUUGACAUGUUCUGGAAUCCCGAAGAGAUUUGGGAGUGCUCGCAAGAGAACUGAACACAGGUGCUGCAUGGUUGUCGUCAGCUCGUGUCGUGAGAUGUUGGGUUAAGUCCCGCAAACGAGCGCAACCCCGUCAUUGAAUGUUACGAAAGGGCACUCUAAUGAGACUGCCGGCGACAAACCGAGGAAGGUGGGGAGACGUCAAGUCCGCGGUCUCUGGCGGGGUAGGUCACACGUCAUACAAUGGUCGGGACAGGAGGUCGCCAAUCGGCGAGGGGUCGAUCCUGCAGAAACCCGACUGGGAACUGGAUCGCAGUCUGCAACUCGACUGUGUGAAGUCGGAAUCGCUAGUAAUCGCGGAUCAGCAUGUCGCGGGAAUACGUUCCCGGGUCUGUACACACCGCCCGUCACACCAUGGGGAGUGACGGACAGAAGUGCAGUUAGCCCAACUGUAAGGAUAUGACACUACGGCAGGAUUCCGCGACUGGGUAAGCCAACAAGGUAA
rnacentral:rRNA from 1 species